UGCGUAGGCGGCCGCUUAAGUAGGGUGUGAAAUGUCCCGGCUCAACCGGGGAAUGGCGCUCUAAACUGGGUGGCUCGAGUGAGAUAGAGGUGUGCGGAACUUCCGGUGGAGCGGUGAAAUGUGUUGAUAUCGGAGGGAACACCAUUGGCGAAAGCGGCACACUGGGUCUUAACUGACGCUGAGGCACGAAAGCCAGGGGAGGCAAAAC
rnacentral:rRNA from 1 species